rnacentral:rRNA from 1 species
GAUGAACGCUGGCGGCGUGCCUAAUACAUGCAAGUCGAGCGAACAGAUAAGGAGCUUGCUCCUUUGACGUUAGCGGCGGACGGGUGAGUAACACGUGGGUAACCUACCUAUAAGACUGGAAUAACUCCGGGAAACCGGGGCUAAUGCCGGAUAACAUUUAGAACCGCAUGGUUCUAAAGUGAAAGAUGGUUUUGCUAUCACUUAUAGAUGGACCCGCGCCGUAUUAGCUAGUUGGUAAGGUAACGGCUUACCAAGGCAACGAUACGUAGCCGACCUGAGAGGGUGAUCGGCCACACUGGAACUGAGACACGGUCCAGACUCCUACGGGAGGCAGCAGUAGGGAAUCUUCCGCAAUGGGCGAAAGCCUGACGGUGCAACGCCGCGUGAGUGAUGAAGGUCUUCGGAUCGUAAAACUCUGUUAUUAGGGAAGAACAAAUGUGUAAGUAACUGUGCACGUCUUGACGGUACCUAAUCAGAAAGCCACGGCUAACUACGUG